rnacentral:rRNA from 1 species
CCUACGGGAGGCAGCAGUGGGGAAUAUUGGACAAUGGGCGCAAGCCUGAUCCAGCCAUGCCGCGUGUGUGAAGAAGGCCUUCGGGUUGUAAAGCACUUUUAUCCGGAAAGAAAAGCUUUGGGUUAAUACCCUGAAGUCAUGACGGUACCGGAAGAAUAAGCACCGGCUAACUUCGUGCCAGCAGCCGCGGUAAUACGAAGGGUGCAAGCGUUACUCGGAAUUACUGGGCGUAAAGCGUGCGUAGGUGGUUUGUUAAGUCUGAUGUGAAAGCCCUAGGCUCAACCUGGGAAUUGCAUUGGAUACUGGCAGGCUAGAGUGCGGUAGAGGAUAGUGGAAUUCCCGGUGUAGCAGUGAAAUGCGUAGAGAUCGGGAGGAACAUCUGUGGCGAAGGCGACUAUCUGGGCCAGCACUGACACUGAGGCACGAAAGCGUGGGGAGCAAACAGGAUUAGAUACCCUGGUAGUCCACGCCCUAAACGAUGCGAACUGGAUGUUGGGUGCAACUAGGCACUCAGUAUCGAAGCUAACGCGUUAAGUUCGCCGCCUGGGGAGGACGGUCGCGACGACGAACGACAAUAGAGUAGACGCGNGAGACGNGCGACGGACGACGACGAGGGAGGAGG